AUAACUGUGUGCGUAUGGAUAUACAAAUACAUUUAUGUACGUAUGAAUGCAUUCAUUACUGUAAUGUUUCGUGAAAGCGAGUGGUUUAGUAGUUAGGCUAUUCGGCCCAUCAUCGUAAGGUCGUGAGUUCAAUUCCCGGCGGUGCGUUGUGCCCUUGAGCAAGACACUUUAUUUUACGCUGCUCCAGCCCACUCAGAUGUCAAAAAUGAGUAGUACCUUUAAUUCAAAAGACCAGUCUUAUCACACUCUGUGUGUCACGCUGAAUCUCCCUGAGAACUACGUUAAGGGUACACGUGUCUGUGGAGUGCUCAGCCACUUGCACGACAAAUCGACCCCAGAAUAAUAAUAAACAAAUCGACCUCAGAACUUAUUCUUUGUACGAGGAGGAGGAAAAGGAAGAUAAUCGAAAAAUCCUUAAAGAGUAGACAUACGAAGAGUCACUUAAUACACAGGAUUAGUCGAAACUGCUGCCGUAUUUCAAUAACAGGUCACAUACAGAUUAACAAGCUAUGGAAAAUCUGUAAGAUUAAUGUCCUGGAAUACAGAUCUGAAGAAAUACUGCUGUGCAUUAUUGCAUUGUUCAUAAGUCAUAGAAAAUUCCCCGUAGGUAUUAGCCUUGAUUGCAGAAUGACAUUGUCUAAUGUCGAUAUUUCUCGUCGUGUGAAAGGAAUCAACAUACGAGCGAAGGAAAAAUGUAUGUUUUGGUGCUGAUACUUUAUAUUUUAAUUUCUGAAAAUUAAAAAUGGA